UACAAGUUUGCCCUUCGAUUUUACUUUAUUUACAACAAAAACCAUCGGAUCGGGACAUAGGGAUAGGGGCAAUUCAGUCUUCAUGUUUCCACCAACAAAGCCAUCGCGUGUUGGUCUGCGCUCUCCUUCCUCUCAUCGCUCACUCCUCCUUCUCUUCUCUGCGUUGUUCCUCUGCUCUCCUCUCUCUUCGCUCCCCAUAUCUCCCGCUGUGAAGCCCACAAACAAGUUGUGCCGGUCGACAACCCUCAUAAUGGCGGACGCGCACUGGAGGUACAGCGACGGUCAACAACCGCCUCCGUCGUCGAUGAAUUCAGCCGUCGGAAAGCGUCCUCGCUCCGAUUAAGAGCGAACGGUAUGUUGUUAACGAAGGCAAAAACAAGAUGCAGUUUAGGGAUCUUAUUGAAAAGCAAGGAAGAUGAAUUGAUAUAUUUUAUUGCAGAGGUCAGGAUAAACUAUGCUUCUGUACCAGAAAAAUUUACGAAAUAAGAGUUGGAUAAGAUGGCUGCAGUAGAAUCUCUCAUUAGGAAAGAGAGGCUAGACUUAAAAUUGAGCGGUCACAAAAUUCCCUCUCAGAUGAGCACAUGACAAUACUAGAUGCAAAUGACGAGAUGGUUGUGUGUGUUUUGCAAGUAAAACUGAAACUUUUUGUUGAGGAAGAAGAUUGAUACUGAUUCAGAGAUGGAUUUACAUUUUUAUGGUCAAAUUUUGGUUAGAGAUUGCUGUCUGAGAUUACUGUCGGCUCAACAUUUGUUUUUCUUAUGAUUUCUAGACUUUUAGAUUAAAAAUGUUAGAUGCAUAUGUAACUUUAUAAGGGGUUUCAGCGUUAUUGUGUUUGCAUCUAUGGCCACUAAUCACAUUAGUUUUUAGUGCAUGAGAUUGAUCUUUGUUUUAUACGAAGAUUUAUACUAAGAUGCUAAUAUGGAAGGUCUAAUUCUAAUCCUGCAGCAACGCACGGGCAUUACUAUGUAGUAUAUCCUAUACCUAUAUUUUGUUUCUUGUUGAACAUUAGGAUGUAAAUAGAUUUUGAGAUCGAUGGUAGACAAUUUUUAGUAUAUUUCACAUGUUUUAAAACUUGCGACAUCAUGCGAGUGCAAUUGCUAGUAUUUGCAUAGAAUUUCAAUUGUCAAUUUCAACUACGUACCUUAUAUUGUAUGGUGGAAUUGUGGUUGAAGAUUGGAUGAACUCGAUUUUUUAUCUUUAAUUUUUUUUUUUCAAAUUGAAGUUUAGGAGAGAGAAAAAAUAACAAGAUCUGGAA